GUGCUCGUUCAGCAGCACAUAUACUAAAAUUGUAACGAUACAGAUUAGCAUCCUGCACAAGGAAGAUAUGCAAAUCCAUGAAGCAUUCUGUAUUUUU
rnacentral:snRNA from 1 species